UACGUAGGGGGCAAGCGUUGUCCGGAUUUAUUGGGCGUAAAGAGCGUGUAGGCGGUUUGGUAGGUCCGCUGUGAAAACUCGAGCUCAACCUCGAGACGCCGGUGGAAACCAUCAGACUAGAGUCCGGAAGAGGAGAGUGGAAUUCCUGGUGUAGCGGUGAAAUGACGCAGAUAUCAGGAAGAACACCCGUGGCGAAGGCGGCUCUCUGGGACGGUACUGACGCUGAGACGCGAAAGCGUGGGGAGCGAACAGG
rnacentral:rRNA from 1 species